rnacentral:ncRNA from 1 species
CAACAAGCUUUGACGAGGAAAAGUAUUCCGUCCCGUAUCCUUUCAGAGAGCUGACGGCAGGUGCGAGUCAGCAGGAACACCGGAAGAAAAUCACCUCUGAGCUUUCAGACUGAACAGCUUUACCAGUAAGACUGAACGGUUAACAGCCGUUAUCCUGUUACACAUUGACAGAUGUGGACGAGUGGCCGUUUAACGGCAACAAGAGUGGUACCGCAGAGGAUUAUAACCUUUGUCUCUUAA